GGCACGGCAAUAGCACUUUAAAUGCCCCAGUUUCCAAUGGAUCCCUGAAGUUAAGUAACGUUGCACUUGGUUAGUAUGCGAAUGGGUGAUACUUAAUUACUGACCAAAAGCCCCUGCCC
rfam:Asian citrus Psyllid, Diaphorina citri - Florida Strain, whole genome shotgun sequence.